AAAUCAGAGAAGGAGAGCGCCUGUUUACAAGACCUUUGUAAAGCUUUUUUGAGAGGUGACUAUGUGUGGAAUAGGUGCUGAGAUGUGAUCAAUAAUGUGAGCAUUGGUACCCACACUUCCUAAAAGAAGUCCACCCUCAACCCAAGGGCUGCAGGCAUGUGACAGACGAUGGGAGCAUAACAAGCAUGCAUACAUGUACAUGAAGAGUUGUCACUUACGUGUAUGUGUAGUCCUCUUCAAAGUGCAAUAGCGACCAACUUUGCUGGACAAGGCAUUGAAACAAACGACCUCGGGAAGUUGUCAGUGUACAUCUGAUGUGUUUCAUGAUGAGAUGCUUGGUGGCAAAAUUUCACUCAGACAUGUACAGCAUUGUUGUAGAGAACACCGUUAACUUGUAGCAUAUUCCAGAGCAAAAUGGGUUUAUAUGAAGUGGGAUGAUUAACCUUUUGUUGCAAUCAUUCUGAACAUUUUUUUUUAGUCAGUAGGAAUAUAUGGAUGAUAGACA